AUGUGUACUAGUUCUUAUACAUAAUCAUGUAACAUAACUCCACAUUGAAUACCACACAUCAGCAAACAUGGAAUUCAUACAUACAUACAUCACAAACUGCACCAAAUAGUACCCAGGGGAAAUAACUCUCAAUAUUCAUCAGGAUCAUCAUCGCACAAGUAGAGCAGGGGAAAAACCUCUCAAUACCCGGCGGAAUUUAGCUACAUCGCUCGGAUAGAGUAACCUAACUCUCAAUACAUAUGCGCAGAGUCUACAGGGACGGGUACAUAUAUAGUGACUAGCAAUCACAUCUCAUGACUCAAUCAAA
rnacentral:lncRNA from 1 species